AGGGUUUGAUCCUGGCUCAGAAUGAACGCUGGCGGCAUGGCUAAAACAUGCAAGUCGAACGCGAACGUUCCCUUCGGGGAACAAGUAGAGUGGCGAAAGGGCGAGUAAUGCAUGGGUAACGUACCCCGAGCUCAGGGAUAGCCGCGGGAAACUGCGGGUAAUACCUGAUAAGACCACGAUCCCUCACGGGAACGCGGUCAAAGGUGGGGACCUUCGGGCCUGUCGGCUCGGGAGCGGCCCAUGUCCUAUCAGCUUGUUGGUGAGGUAACGGCUCACCAAGGCUACGACGGGUAGCGGGACUGAGAGGUUGGCCCGCCGCACUGGGACUGAGACACUGCCCAGACUCCUACGGGAGGCUGCAGUAACGAAUAUUGUCCAAUGGGCGAAAGCCUGAGACAGCAAUGCCGCGUGCGGGAAUAAGUCCCUCGGGAUGUAAACCGCUGUCAGGGGUCACCAAGCAAAGGGAGCCAAUACCUCCCGGCGUUGAGGAGCCCCAGAGGAAGCCACGGCUAACUUCGUGCCAGCAGCCGCGGUAAGACGAAGGUGGCGAGCGUUAUUCGGAAUCACUGGGCUUAAAGAGCACGUAGGCGGACUGUCAAGCGUCUUGUGAAAUCCCUCGGCUCAACCGAGGAACUGCUUGGCGAACUGGCAGUCUUGAGGCAAGUAGGGGCGCGCGGAACUCUUGGUGGAGCGGUGGAAUGCGUAGAUAUCAAGAGGAACGUCGGAGGCGAAGGCGGCGCGCUGGGCUUGUCCUGACGCUGAGGUGCGAAAGCUAGGGGAGCGAACGGGAUUAGAUACCCCGGUAGUCCUAGCCCUAAACGAUGUCCACUAGGUCGAUGGUUCUCUGACGGAUUGUCGGCCGAAACGAAAGCAAUAAGUGGACCGCCUGGGGAGUACGGUCGCAAGGCUAAAACUCAAAGGAAUUGACGGGGACUCACACAAGCGGUGGAGCAUGUUGCUUAAUUCGAUUCAACGCGAAGAACCUUAUCCUGGGCUUGACAUGUACGAAUGCCUACCUGGAAACAGGGUCGGCUGCCUUUCGGGGUGAAACGUACACAGGUGCUGCAUGGCUGUCGUCAGCUCGUGUCGUGAGAUGUUGGGUUAAGUCCCGUAACGAGCGAAACCCUUGUCGCUAGUUGCCAGCGGGUUAUGCCGGGGACUCUAGCGAGACUGCCGGUGUCAAACCGGAGGAAGGUGGGGAUGACGUCAAGUCCUCAUGGCCUUUAUGCCCAGGGCUGCAAACGUGCUACAAUGGCCGGUACAAACCGACGCAAGACCGCGAGGUGGAGCAAAUCGGUAAAAACCGGCCUCAGUUCGGAUUGGAGUCUGCAACUCGACUCCAUGAAGUUGGAAUCGCUAGUAAUCGCGUAUCAGCUAUGACGCGGUGAAUGUGUUCCUGAGUCUUGUACACACCGCCCGUCAAGUCAUGGAAGCCGGGAGCACCCGAAGUCGCCACGCCUCAGUGGUGCCGAAGGUGAGUUCGGUAACUGGGACUAAGUCGUAACAAGGUA
rnacentral:rRNA from 1 species